GGUCCUAUAGUGUAGUGGUCAUCACGUUUGCUUUACACGCAAAAGGUCGCGAGUUCGAAACUCGCUGGGACCA
rfam:Selaginella moellendorffii unplaced genomic scaffold SELMOscaffold_4, whole genome shotgun sequence.